rnacentral:rRNA from 1 species
GACGAACGCUGGCGGCGUGCUUAACACAUGCAAGUCGAGCGGAAAGGCCCUGCUUUUGUGGGGUGCUCGAGUGGCGAACGGGUGAGUAACACGUGAGUAACCUGCCCUUGACUUUGGGAUAACUUCAGGAAACUGGGGCUAACACCGGAUAGGAGCUCCUGCUGCAUGGUGGGGGUUGGAAAGUUUCGGCGGUUGGGGAUGGACUCGCGGCUUAUCAGCUUGUUGGUGGGGUAGUGGCUUACCAAGGCUUUGACGGGUAGCCGGCCUGAGAGGGUGACCGGCCACAUUGGGACUGAGAUACGGCCCAGACUCCUACGGGAGGCAGCAGUGGGGAAUAUUGCACAAUGGGCGGAAGCCUGAUGCAGCAACGCCGCGUGCGGGAUGACGGCCUUCGGGUUGUAAACCGCUUUCGCCUGUGACGAAGCGUGAGUGACGGUAAUGGGUAAAGAAGCACCGGCUAACUACGUG